CAUAUUUAACUUUAUUUUAUUAUGAAAAUUCGCCAGAUAUUUUACAACUUCCGCUGCUGCUCAUGCUGCACUGAUUUGAUGCGCCGGGCUCAGGCAUCCAGCAAAAAAUGGAAGCCUUGCAUAUCUGAUCUGACCGCCAGAGCCGAUCCGCAGCGGAGCCGACACAGAACAAAAACACCAGAGAAGAGGAGUAGCGUGAACCUCAUCUGCAGAAAGAGUAGCGCGUACAUCACGUACGACAAAAACAACGCUGUACUGAUGCUCCAUCUUCUUGCCGCAGUUGUAGACACUUCUGACGUCUGUCACGAACCUGCUGUUGUUGUUGACAGUUGUAUGGGGUCGGAAACAGCGCCGCUAAAAAGACCCCUAUCGCCCCCUAGUUUUGGGGAGGAGAACACGUUCACGUCAAUAAUUCAAUUUUCUCAGCUGCAUGUAAAUGGGGACAAAGAGAGACGUCCGAUUUGGUGAAAAAAAAAAAUAAAUUAUGAGCUUAGUCUGAUGAAACUGUGCAUGUAAACGCACUGAAUGUUCAGGGUUAACACAUGAUGGUCCUCGUCUCCAAAAUCAAGUUCUCCUCAUUGUUCCUCAGGGUCAGAUAGUUUGUAGUGAUAUCAUGCAGCAAAUCUAACAACUGCAUGACCUCGCAACAAAGCAGGAAAAUCCACUUAGCUUAUUUACACGCACUGAAAUGUUUUCACGCAAAAAAAAAGAGAACUGGCUUUAGAUUGUUUCUUUUCCACUCACGUCCUCUUUGUGCCCGUGUGUUUACAGAUAAGUGCAGCCCUGCGUCCGGAGUUAGCAGGGAAGCAGGAAAUUACUUUUUAUAGCACUUUUCUGAACAAAGACACAAAGCCGUUUGAAAAAGAGGAGAAAAAAAACACAGACGGGCAAACGGGCAGAAAUACGGCUUCAGGAAAACAAGAGUGCGAAUGAAACUGACACAGAUCAGGAGUCAGUGAGGCACCGAUCAGGCGUGUCCCUGCAUUACUGACUUUUCCUGCUGCCUGUCCAUACAUUGUGUUGAUUAUCCGAGACAUGCUCUAUUAGUCUGGCCCCAGUUGGGCCCCCCGAUCAAUGGCGUCUAAAUGGUGUUGACGUUCUCCAUUCCUUGUAAAUGCAUUAGCCGAAGCGCUGCACAGAAUCGAUGCAGCAAUACAGACGGCAGAGCGAAGCUGAGAGCAUCACAGAGUGUCACAUCGACUCUUUUUGACUUGAUGAGGUGCUGCUGAAAGAGCCGCCGCGGCGAAAGAGCCGUGCGUGCACGUGUGUCUGCGGGGAGCAGGAGAGAACUCGUGGCAUGAGUGCUGGAGAAAAAAAAACAUGGAGAAGCUCUCAGCCGCUGCUCUCCUGAGGGUUAAACAGAGCGACAGCCGUGACAUUUCCCCUGAGCAGAGAGGCCGCAGAUGAGACGCCUCCGCCUUCGCUGCAGGUGCACAUCUGGGCCACUCUUUGCAUCACGAUACUGUAGACAAGACUGGAGACGCUUUUGGUUUC